CUAACAAAUCCAUGAUAAGGAGAACGUGUGUGCUUAACGUGGCUCGUCAGGGAGGUCCUCCGGUCUUCUAAAGUCUGAUGCAGAUAUUAGCAGAAAUACGACCCGACGGAGACGCGAUGAGCGCCUCUGAUGAGCCCCGCUGUCAGAUCGUCGUGGACGCGCGGCAGCGCCAAUGAAAAAGCGCCUCCGCCUUGGAUUAAGGAGCUUAACAGUGAUUCCCCGUAACCACCUGUCAGCCGCUCGUCCCGGCUCCGCCCACCCUGUGGUUCCGGCUCCGCCCUUCCUGUGGUCCUGGCCCCGCCCACCAUGUGGUCCGGGCCCCGCCCCAUCCUGUGGACCUGGCUCUCAGGCCGCCAUUUAGGCUUUGCCAAGGGCCUUUUAUUGGCCAAAUCCCCACAGACUCUGGUCCCAUCAGACUGGGUGCCUGAUACGUCGCUUCACUGCAAAUAACACCUCGGGGGGUAUUUGUGAGUUUUUCCCCGAGAUUUAGUUUAAUAAUUCACAUUUAUUAUGUAUAUUAUGUACAGUAGCAAGUAUUAUUCUUGCGACUUUUCAAGGUAUUGACAGCAGCCAUAGACACCCUCUCUGCCUCCACCUCCACAAUCCUCGAAUGUUUUUAUUAUUUGUAUUAUUGUGUGCAUUUGAGUGUAUUAAAGCUACUGGAUGCCUAAAUAUCCUUCAGGAUCAAUAAAAUCUAAUCUAUCUA